UAUAGAUGUAGGGAUAGAUACAGUGAUACAUAAAUAAGAAAGAUGAGUGGAAACUGCAAAGAAAGUGAAAGU
rnacentral:sRNA from 1 species